AAGUCGUAACAAGGUUUCCGUAGGUGAACCUGCGGAAGGAUCAUUAGAGAAAACAUUACACACUGGGUACGAUACCACAACAACAAAACUAUUUAUCGAAACUUACAAAAAUCAAAACUUUCAACAACGGAUCUCUUGGUUCUC
rnacentral:misc_RNA from 1 species